rnacentral:rRNA from 1 species
GGGUUGUGAGGUUAAGCGACUAAGCGUACACGGUGGAUGCCCUGGCAGUCAGAGGCGAUGAAGGGCGUGCUAAUCUGCGAUAAGCGCCGGUAAGGUGAUAUGAACCGUUAUAACCGGCGAUACCCGAAUGGGGAAACCCAGUGUGAUUCGUCACACUAUCAUUAACUGAAUCCAUAGGUUAAUGAGGCGAACCGGGGGAACUGAAACAUCUAAGUACCCCGAGGAAAAGAAAUCAACCGAGAUUCCCCCAGUAGCGGCGAGCGAACGGGGAGGAGCCCAGAGCCUGAAUCAGCAUGUGUGUUAGUGGAAGCGUCUGGAAAGGCGCGCGAUACAGGGUGACAGCCCCGUACACAAAAGCGCAUGUGCUGUGAGCUCGAUGAGUAGGGCGGGACACGUGGUAUCCUGUCUGAAUAUGGGGGGACCAUCCUCCAAGGCUAAAUACUCCUGACUGACCGAUAGUGAACCAGUACCGUGAGGGAAAGGCGAAAAGAACCCCGGCGAGGGGAGUGAAAAAGAACCUGAAACCGUGUACGUACAAGCAGUGGGAGCCCCACCACUAAGCCAGUGGUGAACUCCACAUCCGCAUCCUUUGCUGAGGAUACGGUUAACGGAGCGAAAGCGACGUUCAACCGCAAAACAAGCAGA